GGCCCGCACAAGCGGUGGAGCAUGUGGUUUAAUUCGAUGCAACGCGAAGAACCUUACCAGGGUUUGACAUAGUACGAAGUUUUUUGAAAAAAAACCACCUUCGGGAACGUACAUACAGGUGGUGCAUGGCUGUCGUCAGCUCGUGUCGUGAGAUGUUGGGUUAAGUCCCGCAACGAGCGUAACCCUUGUUUUUAGUUGCCUUUUAUGGAACUCUAAAAGACUGCCGGUUAUAAACCGGAGGAAGGUGGGGAUGACGUCAAGUCAGCAUGCCCCUUACACCCUGGGCUACACACGUGCUACAUUGGGCGAGACAAUGAGAUGCAAGACCGCGAGGUGGAGCUAAUCUCAUAAAACCGGUCUCAGUUCGGAUUGGAGUCUGCAACUCGACUCCAUGAAGUUGGAAUC
rnacentral:rRNA from 1 species